CAGGUAAACACCAUCAUGGAUAUUAUUUGCCAUAUUAUUUUUGGAACCUUUGGAUGGGCUUAAUAUCUUAUUUUUGCUGUAAAUAAUGCAAAUAGUUUCUGUUUAUUUUGUUCUUCAUACUUUCAAAAACUAAUUGAAUAAAGAAUUUUUUGCUGGAUCUUUAUUUCAAAGUGAACUUGAGUUUCCAUUUCUAGCACUUUUCUUGGUCAUCCUUUCCCCUUAUGAGGUCAUGAGAUUUAGGGACACAAAAGGAGGUGCUAUCAUUUCAAUAUUGAUUGCAGUGUAUUUGACUUACCAGCAUUUCUCAAGAACAAGUUUACAGAAAUCACUUGAUCAAGGUUCAAUUGUUGCCACCA